ACGUUACCCGCAGAAGAAGCACCGGCUAACUCCGUGCCAGCAGCCGCGGUAAUACGGAGGGUGCAAGCGUUAAUCGGAAUUACUGGGCGUAAAGCGCACGCAGGCGGUCUGUCAAGUCGGAUGUGAAAUCCCCGGGCUCAACCUGGGAACUGCAUUCGAAACUGGCAGGCUUGAGUCUUGUAGAGGGGGGUAGAAUUCCAGGUGUAGCGGUGAAAUGCGUAGAGAUCUGGAGGAAUACCGGUGGCGAAGGCGGCCCCCUGGACAAAGACUGACGCUCAGGUGCGAAAGCGUGGGGAGCAAACAGGAUU
rnacentral:rRNA from 1 species